rnacentral:lncRNA from 1 species
UUAAUUUGAUAUAAGAUUAAAUUAUAUUAUUUUCUUUACAUUUUUACAAAUUUAUUGCGUUUAUUAAUCAGAAAAAAUAUAGAAAUUUUACAUAGUAACUGUUACUGGACAAUCCGUCCCACUAGGUUUGACAUAUUUUUUCGUAAAUGUAAUAAAAGAGGAUUCUUAUCCGCAAAUUUAUGUCCACUAUCGAGUUCUCUGAUAAAACUGAAUAUUUAUUAUGUAUUUCGAAACUUGUCAUUUUAUAUUGUGGGGUGUACAGCAAACAUAUCACUUCUUUCUUUCAAGGUUCAUAUUUUAGGUUAUGUGGCAUGAUGUUAAAUUGUAUUCUACACGUACCACAGAAAAUGCAUUUUCUGUAAUGAAAUCUUUCAACAAUAAAGUAAGAUACAUAUAUUUGCACUUUCUGUUUAUUCAUUUUUAUAGUUUACGACCGUGAUUGAAGAUAAAAUGUGAAAAACAUUUCAAGUUGAUACUAGAUUGAAAACAAUACCGUUGGAACAAUUUUACCUGAUAUAGAAGUAUAAUUUUAAAUUUUGCUUUGUUUUGUAUGAUUUAGCUUGUGUAUAAUAUUCCCAAAAAUUCUUCGAAUUUACAUAUAUAACAUAUGUUUUUAUUUUAUAGGAAUGGAUCUUUGGAGCUAUGGAAUAAAUUGUUACAUUUGAAUGAAUUUGGCUUACUGUUACAGGAUAUUACAGACUGCGAAUACUAAGAUACCAGAUGAGUUUGAUAAUAUUAAUCAUGUUAAAUGAAAUAUAUUAAUACGAUACAAUUAUCAAGUAAUCGGUAUCCAAUGUAUAUCUCUUUUUUAUACUAUAAUUUCUUUCUUUGGUAAAAGCUAUUGAAUUAUAGAAAAUUUACAAUGAAAGAAGAAUCUACGUACGUGUUAACAGCAAUCAUUAAAUAAAAGUAUUAGAAUUGAAUGAAAGCAUUAAAAUUGAAAAUUCACAAAAA